rnacentral:tRNA from 1 species
ACAAUUAUAAUUUAACCAAAAUAUUUGACUUCCAAUCAUAAAAUGUAAAUAAAACUAUACUAAUUGUA